UUUGACCUCAAAUCAGGUAGGACUACCCGCUGAACUUA
rnacentral:rRNA from 4 species